CAGUGUGGGUUCCUUCUCAAUCCUCUGGGAGUGAAAGAAAGCAACAAGCAAAGGAGGGUUUGCUAGUGUCAAGCUGUCAAGGGCCACCUACUAUGCAUAUUUAGAUUUUUCUAUUUCUUUCUAUUUUUUUUCAGAAAUAGAUUGAGUCAAAAGUUGCUUUCUGGUAGGAAUUGAUUGCAAUAAUAUAAAACAUGUGCCUGACCUACAUAACCUAAAAGUCA